GAUGAACGCUGGCGGCGUGCCUAAUACAUGCAAGUCGAGCGAACAGACGAGGAGCUUGCUCCUCUUACGUUAGCGGCGGACGGGUGAGUAACACGUGGAUAACCUACCUAUAAGACUGGGAUAACUUCGGGAAACCUGAGCUAAUACCGGAUAAUAUAUUGAACCGCAUGGUUCAAUAGUGAAAGACGGUUUUGCUGUCACUUAUAGAUGGAUCCGCGCCGCAUUAGCUAGUUGGUAAGGUAACGGCUUACCAAGGCAACGAUGCGUAGCCGACCUGAGAGGGUGAUCGGCCACACUGGAACUGAGACACGGUCCAGACUCCUACGGGAGGCAGCAGUAGGGAAUCUUCCGCAAUGGGCGAAAGCUUGACGGAGCAACGCCGCGUGAGUGAUGAAGGUCUUCGGAUCGUAAAACUCUGUUAUUAGGGAAGAACAAAUGUGUAAGUAACUAUGCACGUCUUGACGGUACCUAAUCAGAAAGCCACGGCUAACUACGUG
rnacentral:rRNA from 1 species